UACGGGGGGGGCAAGCGUUGUUCGGAAUUACUGGGCGUAAAGGGCUCGUAGGUGGCCAACUAAGUCAGACGUGAAAUCCCUCGGCUUAACCGGGGAACUGCGUCUGAUACUGGAUGGCUUGAGUUCGGGAGAGGGAUGCGGAAUUCCAGGUGUAGCGGUGAAAUGCGUAGAUAUCUGGAGGAACACCGGUGGCGAAGGCGGCAUCCUGGACCGAUACUGACACUGAGGCGCGAAAGCCAGGGGAGCAAACGGG
rnacentral:rRNA from 1 species